rnacentral:rRNA from 1 species
CAGCCGCCGCGGUAAUACGUUGGUGGCAAGCGUUGUCCGGAAUUAUUGGGCGUAAAGGGCUCGCAGGCGGUUUCUUAAGUCUGAUGUGAGAGCCCCCGGCUCAACCGGGGAGGGUCAUUGGAAACUGGGAAACUUGAGUGCAGAAGAGGAGAGUGGAAUUCCACGUGCAGCGGUGAAAUGCGUAGAGAUGUGGAGGAACACCAGUGGCGAAGGCGACUCUCUGGUCUGUAACUGACGCUGAGGAGCGAAAGCGUGGGGAGCGAACAGGAUUAGAUACCCCAGUAGUCCCUGUCUCUUAUAC